rnacentral:tRNA from 1 species
CAGUAGGUGGUUUAAAUUAAAAUAUUAAUAUUGGAUAUUAAAGAUGAGGUUUUGCGUCCUUUCUACUGA